GACAGAGGGGGCAAGCGUUGCUCGGAAUUACUGGGCGUAAAGGGCGCGUAGGCGGGAUGGCAAGUCGGUCGUGAAAUCCCUCGGCUCAACCGAGGAACGUCGAUCGAUACUGCUGUUCUUGAGGAUUGCAGAGGAGACUGGAAUUCCCGGUGUAGCGGUGAAAUGUGUAGAGAUCGGGAGGAAUACCGGUGGCGAAGGCAGGUCUCUGGGCCGAUACUGACGCUCAUGGCACGAAAGCGUGGGAGCAAACAGG
rnacentral:rRNA from 1 species